AAUCGGAAAUUACUGGGGCGUAAAGCGCGCGUAGGCGGGAUAGGUAAAGAUGGAUGUGAAAUCCCCGGGCUCAACCUGGGAACUGCAUCCAUAACUGCCUGGCUAGAGUACAGUAGAGGGUGGUGGAAUUUCCUGUGUAGCGGUGAAAUGCGUAGAUAUAGGAAGGAACACCAGUGGCGAAGGCGACCACCUGGACUGAUACUGACGCUGAGGUGCAAAAGCGUGGGGAGCAAACAGGAUUAGAUACCCUGGUAGUCCACGCCGUAAACGAUGUCAACUAGCCGUUGGAAUCCUUGAGAUUUUAGUGGCGCAGCUA
rnacentral:rRNA from 1 species